ACACAGCAGGGAAAACCGUGUAAUGUUCAUCGGGCUGUUAGCAAUGCACUUUUUCUGCACCGCAUUAACCAGCUCAACGGCUAACCAAACGAGCUGUCAAUGGUCUCCUACUUGAAGUUUGAAGACUGGAAUGGGAAGGCUACGGACACCAGCUUUGCUACCAUCUGAGAACUCAGCUGAGGCGCACUAAAUACUGAAUAUCCAAUUCUGCUUAUUGGAUUCCACCUCAGUUCACACCGCCUAGACUCCACCCUAUGCAGAAAUCAACCUCAGAGUUGUUGGACAAAAAACAAUUUCACAGGAGCAAAAACAAAGAUCCACCAUCUUGGCACAAAUGAUGUUAUGGAUUUUUUUAAGGAAUGCUCUGUCAUGUGCAUGACCACUACUGCAGAGCUCAAUCACUGUAUUCCUGCAUAAACAUUGAUUUAUCUCUGUGGAGAAAAAAAGGUUUGUUUCAGAGACUUGUGGAUCCGAAACUAUAACUAAUCAACUUAAUGGCAAUUCAAGUUCAAGCAGAUUGUGUUGUCUCAUGUGAAAAAAAUUGGAUACUUCAGCAUUCUUGAAGCAUAUUUAUAUAAGCUUUAAUUUACUUCAAGUAUUCUAAAGUGUAAAAUAGUAUACUUCAAUUUUUUUUUUUUUAAUCAAGACUUGCUGAAACUGAAAACUUACUUUAUUAUCGUUUUAGCUAUAAUGCCAGGGGUGUUACUGAGAGACUUUGAGGAAAUUUUCUAGAGCUAAAUUUAUGACACACUUAAAGGGAAUAUAUGAACUUGCUGGCCAGCCUAAAGUUGAUGAUCCCAGAAGUCCUUUUCUCACUUCGUACCAGAAGUCUCAUUUACAUUUUAAUGACUUUCUGUCCAAAUACAACUUCUUGGGGAAACACCAAAAUUGAGUAAGGAUGUGGAUGGCACGUCUCAACAGGACAAAUGACAUGCAUCGUCUUCAUGCAGAGCUCCCAUCGCACUGCUCAUUCACAGGACACACUGAGCUUCAGAGCUCUAUUACCAGCCAGCGCAUGGCGUGUAGCGAGCCGUCGUACUGGCGAAGUGGUAUUUUCAUCAUGGAUUUUGACGAGGCCGAGCAGUUUGGUAAUUUCUUGGCUCGCCGUGCACGGAAGCGGGCGAAGAGCUGCUGUUGGAGGUGUGUCAGGCGAGAUCGAUCUGCACACUGCAAUUUCGGCGCAGCUCAUUGUGAUUUUUGUGUCAGCAUAGUCUGCGAUUCACACUGGCACCGCCCACCUGGUCAGACCAGGUCUACGGCACAAGUUGCAGCCCAGCAUUCAGUGAAUUGCUCAUUUUGGGGCUUAGCCAUUCAAUGCCUGCAAGGUCAGAGCCUAUUCAAAGGACAAUCAACGGUUUUUUGCGGAUCAUAUGCUGUCCAAUGUGAUACUUUGUAUUUAUUGUCCAUUGUCAUAUUAUUAUUUUUUUCAUCAUUUUAAUUGUUGUAUUUCCAGUUUUAAUUGUUUAUGGCUGUUCUUAUACUGCUCUGUAGUCGUACUGGCACUGUAUUCUAUUCUGUUUGUUACACCCAUCUGUAAUGAGAAGAAUGACAAACACAACUUGAACUUUCUUUUCAUUUUAAUUAUGUGACUGUAGUUAAGAUAACAGGUACAUGCAAGCUACAUGUCAUUAUCUGCAUUAGUUACACUAUUAAGUCGCCUAAAAAUAAAAUUCAUGUGUGGGUCACAUUGUAUUAUCCACAUAGCUUGUAAGCUGUACAUUUGAAAUGGAGGAGCCAAGAAAAAUCGACACUCCACUGCACCUCAGGAGUGCCAUUUGGAAGUAUUAUGGCUUCUGUGGAGACAAAAUAAUAACCAAGGAGAAAGUUGCCUGCAACGUAUGGAAGUGGCAACUGCCUGCUAGCCACCCAGAGGCUUUUUCUGCUCUAAAAAAAGGUCAGUCCUUUCAGUUUGGUUUAAGUAAGCCAUGCCAUUGUUGUGAAUUAAUGAUGGGCUUUUGUGCAUUAUAUUUUUCAUUCAUUAGACCAACAGUUGAUACGGAGUCAUUUCAUUGCAGUGACCUUCCCUGGUUUUAUUUCAUUAAAUAAAACUUCAAGA